rnacentral:rRNA from 1 species
UACAGAGGGUGCAAGCGUUAAUCGGAAUUACUGGGCGUAAAGCGUGCGUAGGCGGUUAUCUAAGUCGGAUGUGAAAUCCCCGGGCUUAACCUGGGAAUUGCAUUCGAAACUGAAUAGCUAGAGUUCGGCAGAGGGAAGCGGAAUUUCCGGUGUAGCGGUGAAAUGCGUAGAUAUCGGAAGGAACAUCAGUGGCGAAGGCGGCUUCCUGGACCAGAACUGACGCUCAGGCACGAAAGCGUGGGGAGCAAACAGG